rnacentral:rRNA from 1 species
GACGAACGCUGGCGGCGUGCCUAAUACAUGCAAGUCGAACGCUGAAGGAGGAGCUUGCUUCUCUGGAUGAGUUGCGAACGGGUGAGUAACGCGUAGGUAACCUGCCUGGUAGCGGGGGAUAACUAUUGGAAACGAUAGCUAAUACCGCAUAAUAGUAGAUGUUGCAUGACAUUUGCUUAAAAGGUGCAAUUGCAUCACUACCAGAUGGACCUGCGUUGUAUUAGCUAGUUGGUGGGGUAACGGCUCACCAAGGCGACGAUACAUAGCCGACCUGAGAGGGUGAGCGGCCACACUGGGACUGAGACACGGCCCAGACGCCUACGGGAGGCAGCAGUAGGGAAUCUUCGGCAAUGGACGGAAGUCUGACCGAGCAACGCCGCGUGAGGGAAGAAGGGUUUCGGAUCGUAAAGCUCGGUUGUAAGAGAAGAACGAGUGUGAGAGUGGAAAGUUCACACUGUGACGGUAGCUUACCAGAAAGGGACGGCUAACUACGUG